AAACUAACAAGGAUUCCCCUAGUAGCGGCGAGCGAAGCGGGAAGAGCUCAAAUUUAUAAUCUGGCACCUUCGGUGUCCGAGUUGUAAUCUCUAGAAAUGUUUUCCGCGUUGGACCGCACACAAGUCUGUUGGAAUACAGCGGCAUAGUGGUGAGACCCCCGUAUAUGGUGCGGACGCCCAGCGCUUUGUGAUACAUUUUCGAAGAGUCGAGUUGUUUGGGAAUGCAGCUCAAAUUGGGUGGUAAAUUCCAUCUAAAGCUAAAUAUUGGCGAGAGACCGAUAGCGAACAAGUACCGUGAGGGAAAGAUGAAAAGCACUUUGGAAAGAGAGUUAACAGUACGUGAAAUUGUUGGAAGGGAAACGCUUGAAGUCAGACUUGCUUGCCGAGCAAUCGGUUUGCAGGCCAGCAUCAGUUUUCCGGGAUGGAUAAUGGUAGAGAGAAGGUAGUAGUUUCGGCUGUGUUAUAGCUCUCUGCUGGAUACAUCUUGGGGGACUGAGGAACGCAGUGUGCCUUUGGCGGGGGUUUCGACCUCUUCACACUUAGGAUGCUGGUGGAAUGGCUUUAAACGAC
rnacentral:rRNA from 1 species